UUUCCGUAGGUGAACCUGCGGAAGGAUCAUUAAUGCUUUUAUUGAAAGCCUAUUUUGUGAUGUGUAUUGAUGAGUGUGGUCACUUUGUUGCCCACAUGCUUUUUUUCACCAGUCCAUACAUUUAUUCUGAACACACGUUAAAAACAUCGAAAACUGCCAGCAAUGGAUCACUUGGUUCUC
rnacentral:misc_RNA from 1 species